rnacentral:tRNA from 1 species
GAAUUAAAUUAAACUAAGCUUCUAACUUAGUAUAUAGCAAAUUAAUUGUUAUUAAUUCU